AACGAACGCUGGCGGCAUGCCUAACACAUGCAAGUCGAACGAGAUCUUCGGGUCUAGUGGCGCACGGGUGCGUAACGCGUGGGAAUCUGCCCUUUGGUUCGGAAUAACAGUUGGAAACGACUGCUAAUACCGGAUGAUGACGAAAGUCCAAAGAUUUAUCGCCAGAGGAUGAGCCCGCGUAGGAUUAGCUAGUUGGUGUGGUAAAGGCGCACCAAGGCGACGAUCCUUAGCUGGUCUGAGAGGAUGAUCAGCCACACAGGGACUGAAACACGGCCCAGGCUCCUACGGGAGGCAGCAGUGGGGAAUAUUGGACAAUGGGCGAAAGCCUGAUCCAGCAAUGCCGCGUGAGUGAUGAAGGCCUUAGGGUUGUAAAGCUCUUUUACCCGGGAUGAUAAUGACAGUACUGGGAGAAUAAGCUCCGGCUAACUCCGUGCCAGCCGCCGCCGUAA
rnacentral:rRNA from 1 species